GUAGGGGCCAAACGUUUGUCCGGAUUUAUUGGGCGUAAAGGGCUCGUAGGCGGUUCAACAAGUCGAUCGUGAAAACCCGGGGCUCAACCCCGGGACGCCGGUCGAAACUGUUGUGACUAGGGUCCGGUAGAGGUGAGUGGAAUUCUCGGUGUAGCGGUGGAAUGCGCAGAUAUCGAGAGGAACACCAGUUGCGAAGGCGGCUCACUGGGCCGGUACCGACGCUAAGGAGCGAAAGCAUGGGGAGCAAACAGGAUUAGAUACCCUGGUAGUCCAUGCCGUAAACUGUGAACACUAGGUGUGGCGGAUCUAUUGAUGUCUGCCGUACCGUAGCUAACGCGUUAAGUGUUCCGCCUGGGGAGUACGGCCGCAAGGCUA
rnacentral:rRNA from 1 species